rnacentral:rRNA from 1 species
AGCAGCCGCGGUAAUUCCAGCUCCAAUAGCGUAUAUUAAAGUUGUUGCAGUUAAAAAGCUCGUAGUUGAAUUUCGGGGUUAGUAGAUUGGUCAUGCCUCUGGUAUGUACUGGUCUCACUGAUUCCUCCUUCCUGAUGAUCCGUAAUGCCAUUAAUUUGGUGUUGCGGGGAAUUUGGACUGUUACUUUGAAAAAAUUAGAGUGUUUAAAGCAAGCUAACGCUUGAAUACAUUAGCAUGGAAUAAUGAAAUAGGACGUUCGAUCCUAUUUUGUUGGUUUCUAGGAUUGACGUAAUGAUUAAUAGGGAUAGUUGGGGGCAUUAGUAUUCAAUUGUCAGAGGUGAAAUUCUUGGAUUUAUUGAAGACUAACUACUGCGAAAGCAUUUGCCAAGGAUGUUUUCAUUAAUCAAGGACGAAAGUUAGGGGAUCGAAGACGAUCAGAUACCGUCGUAGUCUUAACCAUAAACUAUGCCGACUAGGGAUCGGAUGAUGUUAAUUUUUUAAUGACUCA